UACGGGGGGGGCAAGCGUUGUUCGGAAUUACUGGGCGUAAAGGGCGCGUAGGCGGUCUUGUAAGUUCCGUGUGAAAUCCCUCGGCUCAACUGAGGAACCGCACGGAAAACUGCUUGGCUUGAAUCCGGGAGAGGGAUGUGGAAUUCCAGGUGUAGCGGUGAAAUGCGUAGAUAUCUGGAGGAACACCGGUGGCGAAGGCGGCGAUCCUGGACCGGGUAUUGACGCUGAGGCGCGAAAGCCAGGGGAGCAAACGGGGAUAGAA
rnacentral:rRNA from 1 species